rnacentral:rRNA from 1 species
GAUGAACGCUAGCGGGAGGCCUAAUACAUGCAAGUCGAACGGUAAGGUCCCCUCGGGGAUACACGAGUGGCGGACGGGUGCGUAACGCGUACGAAACAUACCUUCAACAGGGAGAUACCUCCGGGAAACUGGAAAUAAUACCCCAUAGUAUUGAGAUAUCGCAUGAUAUUUUCUAAUUAAAGACUUUGGUCGGUUGAAGAUUGUCGUGCGUCUGAUUAGCUAGUUGGUGAGGUAACGGCUCACCAAGGCGACGAUCAGUAGCUGGUCUGAGAGGAUGAUCAGCCACACUGGAACUGAGACACGGUCCAGACUCCUACGGGAGGCAGCAGUAGGGAAGUAUUGGACAAUGGGCGGAAGCCUGAUCCAGCCAU